UUACGGCCACAGCACGUUGAAACACCUGUUCCUGUACGACUACCGAAUUGAAGAAACGUCGAUCCUGGUUAGUACCUAAAUGGGUGACCGCUUCGGAAUCCCAGGUGCUGUAAG